rnacentral:rRNA from 1 species
AGUAGCAUACUUCAGAUGGCGACCGGCGCACGGGUGAGUAACACGUAUCCAACCUUCCGCUUACUCGGGGAUAGCCUUUCGAAAGAAAGAUUAAUACCCGAUGGUAUAAAGAGUUCGCAUGUUCUCUUUAUUAAAGAAUUUCGGUAAGCGAUGGGGAUGCGUUCCAUUAGAUUGUUGGCGGGGUAACGGCCCACCAAGUCUACGAUGGAUAGGGGUUCUGAGAGGAAGGUCCCCCACAUUGGAACUGAGACACGGUCCAAACUCCUACGGGAGGCAGCAGUGAGGAAUAUUGGUCAAUGGACGAGAGUCUGAACCAGCCAAGUAGCGUGAAGGAUGACUGCCCUAUGGGUUGUAAACUUCUUUUAUACGGGAAUAAAGUGAGGCACGUGUGCCUUUUUGUAUGUACCGUAUGAAUAAGGAUCGGCUAACUCCGUGCCAGCAGCCGCGGUAAUACGGAGGAUCCGAGCGUUAUCCGGAUUUAUUGGGUUUAAAGGGAGCGUAGGCGGACGCUUAAGUCAGUUGUGAAAGUUUGCGGCUCAACCGUAAAAUUGCAGUUGAUACUGGGUGUCUUGAGUACAGUAGAGGCAGGCGGAAUUCGUGGUGUAGCGGUGAAAUGCUUAGAUAUCACGAAGAACUCCGAUUG